rnacentral:rRNA from 1 species
UAGGGAAUAUUGGACAAUGGGCGCAAGCCUGAUCCAGCCAUGCCGCGUGUGUGAAGAAGGCCUUCGGGUUGUAAAGCACUUUUGUCCGGAAAGAAAAGCACUGGGUGAAUACCCUGGUGUCCUGACGGUACCGGAAGAAUAAGCACCGGCUAACUUCGUGCCAGCAGCCGCGGUAAUACGAAGGGUGCAAGCGUUACUCGGAAUUACUGGGCGUAAAGCGUGCGUAGGUGGUUUGUUAAGUCUGAUGUGAAAGCCCUGGGCUCAACCUGGGAAUGGCAUUGGAUACUGGCAGGCUAGAGUGCGGUAGAGGGUAGUGGAAUUCCCGGUGUAGCAGUGAAAUGCGUAGAGAUCGGGAGGAACAUCUGUGGCGAAGGCGACUACCUGGACCAGCACUGACACUGAGGCACGAAAGCGUGGGGAGCAAACA